GGACGGCAAGUGAAAUAAGGAGAAUUACCUUCUUCAUUUAUUAUGACAAGUGACAAGACAACAUAACCCAAAUAAUUUAAUCCAGCCCUAUUUCUAUUUUUGAACAAAAUGCUGGAAAUUGGAAAUAUCUUACGUUUAUUUUUAGUUCUAGCUUAUUUACGGCUAGAUUGAAAAUCUGAAUUUUCUAAUAUUGGUUCAUGAUUAUCAUCAGGGACUUGAUUCCGUUCUUAAACAGAAAUUCCCAAAAAAGUAUAUGAAUUUCAUACUUUUACACUAGGAUAGCCCCUUAAGAAAGGUAAAUUUCUAGAGCUGCCUAAAGACAGCCAUCAUUAUUCCUCUUCAUAAGGGUGGUGAAAACUCUAAUGCCUGCAAUUAUAGACCUAUUGCAUUACCACUGGUACUCUCAAAUAGGACUCAUAAUACACAAGUAUAAAAACUUGUUGCUGGUAUGAGCACAUUGUGUAAAUGUUAGGAUUUAAAGAGGAUAUAAAAACCUUCAAUACGAUUAUGAGCGUUAGUCUCUUUAUAUCCUAACAUUUUUUUGUUAUUGUUUUAGUUUAUUAUUGUUUUAUUGUGUUUAUUAUUGUUUUUUAUGACUCUUUGUAAGUUUUGUGUAUAAAUUGUACAAUUUUCCAUGACAAUAAAGCAUUUUUCUAUUUUAA